rnacentral:rRNA from 1 species
GACGAACGCUGGCGGCGUGCCUAAUACAUGCAAGUCGAGCGGACGGAUGGGAGCUUGCUCCCAGACCGUCAGCGGCGGACGGGUGAGUAACACGUGGGCAACCUGCCUGUAAGACUGGGAUAACUCCGGGAAACCGGGGCUAAUACCGGAUAACUCUUUCCCUCACAUGAGGGAAAGCUGAAAGAUGGCAUCUCGCUAUCACUUACAGAUGGGCCCGCGGCGCAUUAGCUGGUUGGUGAGGUAACGGCUCACCAAGGCGACGAUGCGUAGCCGACCUGAGAGGGGGAUCGGCCACACUGGGACUGAGACACGGCCCAGACUCCUACGGGAGGCAGCAGUAGGGAAUCUUCCGCAAUGGACGAAAGUCUGACGGAGCAACGCCGCGUGAGUGAUGAAGGUUUUCGGAUCGUAAAACUCUGUUGUCAGGGAAGAACAAGUACCGGAGUAACUGCCGGUACCUUGACGGUACCUGACCAGAAAACCACGGCUAACUACGU